rnacentral:rRNA from 1 species
UGGGGAAUAUUGCGCAAUGGGCGAAAGCCUGACGCAGCCACGCCGCGUGCGGGAUGAAGGCUCUAGGGUUGUAAACCGCUUUAGGCAGGGAAGAAAAUGACGGUACCUGCAGAAUAAGGUCCGGCCAACUACGUGCCAGCAGCCGCGGUAACACGUAGGGACCGAGCGUUGUCCGGAUUUAUUGGGCGUAAAGAGCUCGUAGGCGGUUCGGUAAGUCAGGUGUGAAAGCUCGAGGCUCAACCUCGAGAUGCCACCUGAUACUGCCGUGACUUGAGUCCGGUAGAGGAGUGUGGAAUUCCUGGUGUAGCGGUGAAAUGCGCAGAUAUCAGGAGGAACACCAAUUGCGAAGGCAGCACUCUGGGCCGGUACUGACGCUGAGGAGCGAAAGCGUGGGGAGCGAACAGG